rnacentral:rRNA from 1 species
AUGGCGUCCACCGCCGCGCCGCCCGCCGCCCUCGUCGCCCGCCGCGCCGCGUCCGCGUCCGUCGCCGCGCCGCUCCGGGGCGCGGGGCUCGCGGCCGGGUGCCAGCCGGCGCGCUCGCUGGCGUUCGCGGCCGGCGCCGACCCGCGCCUCGCGGUCCACGUCGCGUCGCGCUGCCGGGCGGCGUCCGCCGCGCGCGGGACACGCGCCGUCGCCACCAUGGCCAAGAAGAGCGUGGGCGACCUCACCGCCGCCGACCUCGAGGGCAAGCGCGUGCUCGUGCGGGCCGACCUCAACGUGCCGCUCGACGACAACCAGAACAUCACCGACGACACCCGCAUCCGCGCCGCCAUCCCCACCAUCAAGUACCUCCUCAGCAACGGCGCCAAGGUCAUCCUCACCAGCCACCUGGGUCGUCCUAAGGGUGUUACUCCUAAGUUUAGCUUGGCUCCCCUUGUGCCCCGAUUAUCCGAGCUUCUUGGCAUUGAGGUGAAAAAAGCAGAAGAUGUUAUCGGCCCAGAAGUUGAGAAAUUGGUGGCUGACCUGGCAAAUGGUGCUGUUUUGCUCCUGGAAAACGUAAGAUUUUACAAGGAAGAGGAGAAGAAUGACCCAGAGUUUGCAAAGAAGCUUGCGUCACUGGCAGAUCUGUUUGUAAACGAUGCAUUCGGAACAGCCCACAGAGCACAUGCCUCGACUGAGGGAGUUACCAAGUUCUUGAAGCCUUCUGUUGCUGGAUUCCUUUUGCAGAAGGAACUUGACUACCUGGAUGGAGCUGUUUCAAACCCUAAGCGCCCAUUUGCUGCCAUUGUGGGUGGCUCAAAGGUGUCAUCCAAGAUUGGGGUUAUCGAAUCCCUGUUGGAGAAGUGUGACAUCCUUCUUUUGGGUGGUGGUAUGAUCUUCACAUUUUACAAGGCACAAGGACUCUCAGUUGGUUCUUCCUUGGUUGAGGAAGAUAAACUUGAGCUGGCAACAUCUCUCCUUGCAAAGGCAAAGGCAAAGGGUGUCUCCCUUCUGUUGCCAUCUGACGUUAUCAUUGCUGAUAAGUUUGCUCCUGAUGCUAACAGUCAGACCGUCCCUGCAUCUGCAAUUCCUGAUGGUUGGAUGGGGCUGGACAUUGGCCCAGAUUCAGUCAAAACAUUUAAUGAUGCCCUGGACACAACACAGACAAUCAUUUGGAACGGACCAAUGGGUGUCUUUGAAUUUGACAAGUUUGCAGUAGGAACUGAGUCUAUUGCAAAGAAGUUGGCCGAGCUUAGCAAAAAGGGUGUGACAACUAUCAUUGGAGGCGGAGACUCCGUUGCGGCUGUUGAGAAGGUGGGAGUGGCUGAUGUUAUGAGCCACAUCUCAACUGGUGGUGGCGCCAGCUUGGAGUUGUUGGAAGGAAAGGAGCUUCCUGGAGUCGUUGCACUUGAUGAAGGUGUCAUGACGAGCAAACUUUAG